UACGAGGGGGGCAAGCGUUGUUCGGAAUUACUGGGCGUAAAGCGCGCGUAGGCGGCUUUGUAAGUUAGAGGUGAAAGCCCAGGGCUUAACCCUGGAAUUGCCUUUAAGACUGCAUCGCUAGAAUCGUGGAGAGGUGAGUGGAAUUCCGAGUGUAGAGGUGAAAUUCGUAGAUAUUCGGAAGAACACCAGUGGCGAAGGCGACUCACUGGACACGUAUUGACGCUGAGACGCGAAAGCGUGGGGAGCAAACAGG
rnacentral:rRNA from 1 species